GUAAGACUCCACCAGAAGGAAAAGAAAAAAAGAAAAGAAAAGAAAAGGAGAAACACCCUUUUUGACAAUCUCUUGAACCCAGGCAGCGGAGGUUGCAUUGAGCCUAGAUCAUGACACUGCACUCUAGCCUGGGUGACAGAGCAAGACUCUGUCUCAAACAAAACAAAACAAAACAAAACAAAGAUGCUUCCUUUGAUAAUAUACCUCUCCCCACAUUUUCCUUUCUUUGUCAUAGACGAGCCUGACCUCACAGCCAUCUGACAACAAGAGAGCCAGGAAACAGUCGACCCUAUGGCUCCUAAGUCCAUAGGUUCUGGGCAGGCAAAGCCACUCAGUAGACCAAGCCUCAGUAUGAAAUGACAGCCUGGAAGACCCUGACUUCUGUUCCUGCAGGCAGUCUUCCACCUUCACAUCUGCCUGGGACACUGCAGAGGCAUCUCUCACCCAUAGAUGGGGCACUCAGUGCUGAAGCAGACGUCUGUCCCAAAGAUCCAGAUCCCACCCCUGCACAUUUUGGCUGAAUCACUUCCCGUCAUUCCAAGCAGAGGAAGAUCCAAAAAUUCUCACCUCCAUAGUUUGAACAGCUAAUUUGCUUUUUGUUCUUGUUGCAGUGAGUACAUUGUCACGGGCAGAAAUGCUAGCUCAUACACCAAAAGGAAGAAAAUAGAUGCCUUCUGAAUUAUUGAUGGAUGAAAUAAUGCGAUAUCUGAGACCUGCUUCCAAUCACCUGGGAGAGAGGAGGGGACCCAGGAGUUGACAACCAUUGAAGCUGAGUAACAGGGUACAGGAGUCCAUUUUUCUGUUCAUGCUACUUUUACGCAAUUUUUCACUUUUCUAUAAUAAAAAGCCAAAAACAAAC
rnacentral:lncRNA from 10 species